CCCCCCUUUCCAACUGACUAGGUAUCCCCCCUUUCCAACUGACUAGGUAUCCCCCUUUCCAACUGACUAGUUAUCCCCCUUUACAACUGACUAGGUAUCCCCCAUUCCAACUGACUAGGUAUCCCCCCUUUCCCUUUCCAACUGACUAGGUAUCCUCCCUUUCCAACUGACUAGGUAUCCUCCCUUUCCAACUGACUAGGUAUCCCCCCUUUCCCUUUCCAACUGACUAGGUAUCCUCCCUUUCCAACUGACUAGGUAUCCCCCCUUUCCCUGUCCAACUGACUAGGUAUCCCCCAAUUCCCUGUCCAACUGACUAGCUAUCCCCCCUUUCCAACUGACUUGGUAUCCCCCUUUCCAACUGACUAGGUAUCCCCCCUUUCCAACUGACUAGGUAUCCCCCUUUCCAACUGACUAGGUAUCCCCCCUUUCCCUGUCCAACUGACUAGGUACCCCCCUUUCCCUGUCCAACUGACUAGGUAUCCCCCCUUUCCCUGUCCAACUGACUAGGUAUCCCCCCUUUCCAACUGACUAGGUAUCCCCCUUUCCCUGUCCAACUGACUAGGUAUCC
rnacentral:lncRNA from 1 species